AUGGGUACAAGGAAUCUACUUUAUUCAACACACUAACCUAAUUUCCGAGACAUUUUACAUGCCUGAAACAUGUCUUAGAAAUUAUGGUUUUUCUUGGUUUGUGUGCUGAACAAAGUAGAUUCCUUGUACCCA
rfam:Medicago truncatula strain A17 chromosome 1, whole genome shotgun sequence.